GAUGAACGCUGGCGGCGUGCCUAACACAUGCAAGUCGAACGGAGUCCAGCCUUUAAGACCUUCGGGUCAAAGAGGGGAAGACUGAGUGGCGGACGGGUGAGUAACACGUGGGCAACCUGGCUCAUAGAGGGGGAUAACAGAGAGAAAUUUCUGCUAAUACCGCAUAAGCACACACUGCCGCAUGGCAGAGGGUGAAAAGAGAAUCGCUAUGAGAUGGACCCGCGUCUGAUUAGCCAGUUGGCAGGGUAAGAGCCUACCAAAGCGACGAUCAGUAGCCGAUCUGAGAGGAUGAACGGCCACAUUGGGACUGAGACACGGCCCAAACUCCUACGGGAGGCAGCAGUGGGGGAUAUUGCACAAUUGGGGGAACCCUGAUGCAGCGACGCCGCGUGAGUGAAGAAGUAUUUCGGUAUGUAAAGCUCUAUCAGCAGGGAAGAUAAUGACAGUACCUGAAUAAGAAGCCCCGGCUAACUACGUG
rnacentral:rRNA from 1 species